AUGGAGAAGAGCUCGUUAGAGGAUAUUAAGGGCAUUGGCGCAGAGCUGACUGGUCUGAGAAUGCUGAGCUUCUCUGGCAAAGUGGUGGCUGAGGAGGUAGUUGAUGCUUUGGUCUCCUCAAUUGCAAGGCUCCGUGACCUCAAAUACCUCUUUGUCAGUGCUAAUGGUGUGUUUUCUAAACAUUCUUGUUGCCAGAUGUACUCGCUAUCCAACCCUCCUCUCCAUAUCGAGGUACUUUAUCUGCUAGGAUGGAUAUUGAAGAGAGUUCCCAAUUGGAUUGGCGACCUCCAUUGCCUCCGCAGCCUGACUUUGUCGGUUGAGUACCUAUCGACUGAUGAGGUUCACGUUGUCGGAAAACUGCCCUCCCUCGUCGACAUGUUUCUCUCGGUGUCGAGUAUCACUGAACAUAGUGGUGCCACCAUAGUCCGCACAGGAUUAUUUCUGGUUCUGGAAGACCUUAGGUAUGCAUGGAGUUCGAGGCAGGGGCGAUUCCCAAGCUGCGACAGCUCCAUCUACAAAUACCUGAUGGGUGGGGUGGUGCUACGCCAUUAG
rnacentral:rRNA from 1 species